rnacentral:ncRNA from 1 species
GGUUGGACAAACUAAAGUUUGAUUUCAAGAAAUUUGUUUCCAGGGUGGGAGACU